AAAUAGAAAGCGGUUACCGCAAUUAGUUUCGACCUAAUCAUUUGGAUUUUCCUCUAUUUU
rnacentral:tRNA from 1 species